rnacentral:rRNA from 1 species
AGCGGAGGAAAAGAAACCAACUGGGAUUACCUUAGUAACGGCGAGUGAAGCGGUAAAAGCUCAAAUUUGAAAUCUCGGUACUCUUCACGUGCCCGAGUUGUAAUUUGUAGAAUUUGUCUUUGAUUAGGUCCUUGUCUAUGUUCCUUGGAACAGGACGUCAUAGAGGGUGAGAAUCCCGUUUGGCGAGGAUACCUUUUCUCUGUAAGACUUUUUCGAAGAGUCGAGUUGUUUGGGAAUGCAGCUCAAAGUGGGUGGUAAAUUCCAUCUAAAGCUAAAUAUUGGCGAGAGACCGAUAGCGAACAAGUACAGUGAUGGAAAGAUGAAAAGAACUUUGAAAAGAGAGUGAAAAAGUACGUGAAAUUGUUGAAAGGGAAGGGCAUUUGAUCAGACAUGGUGUUUUUUGCAUGCACUCGCCUCUCGUGGGCUUGGGCCUCUCAAAAAUUUCACUGGGCCAACAUCAAUUCUGGCAGCAGGAUAAAUCAUUAAGAAUGUAGCUACUUCGGUAGUGUUAUAGCUUUUUGGAAUACUGUUAGCCGGGAUUGAGGACUGCGCUUCGGCAAGGAUGUUGGCAUAAUGGUUAAAUGCCGCCCGUCUUGAAACACGGACCUACAA